CUCAUGUGUGAGGGGUUUGAUCUCAGUGCUGAUGCAAGAGCUCUGAAGCCUUCAUCUCCAAUACUGCAGUGUGACAGACUGUAGAGAGAAAAAGGAGAGAGCAGUGACCCCACCUGGUCUCAAACACGGGUCUCCAAACUAAACAUGCAACUUGUGUUUGUGUGUGUGAAGUACAUUGUCAUCUUGAGAGCCCCUUCUCUGGCAUCACUCUCAUCCUGCUCUUUACCCUCAACGUUUUCUUGGUAAUCUGGACUCAGAAUCUUCUUGAAUCUCUUCAGCUCAUUCUUCACAAAGUCCAUUAUCUUCUCCUCAAGCACCUGGAGCUGUUGUGUACCACUGCUGUCGGUCUGAGUCUCCGCCCUUCCUCUGGCUGCUCCUGGUUCUCACCUGCUCACCUCUCACCUGCUUCCACUGGUGUCUCUGAUCUGCCUACCAAUCAGCCUCAAUCAGCCUGCAUCUGAUUGCAAUUUCAGCUUUAAAAUCCCCAUUACCAGUCUGCCUCCCUGUCAGAAUGUUCCCGUAGCAGUUCUCGAGUGCGACCUGCCUGCCUGCCUGAGUUUUUGCCUGCCUGGUUUUGACCUCUGCCUGGUUUUCAUCGGCUGUGUUCUCUGCCUGAAGAUUUAGUACUUUUGCCAAGUUUUUUUCUGUUUUUUGCCUGCCUGUGUUUUGUUGCCGGUGAAUGAAGACUGGCCUACUGCCGUGAAGGAGGAUUGACUUUUGUGUUUCACCUGCACCCUCUCUGGAGUGUCCAGUUGCCUGUGCCCUGUUCUCCUGCUGGGGUUUUGCCUUCUACGACUGUUUCUUUCUGAACUGUUUUUUGUGCUUUUUCUGAAGGCUGCUUUCUGUUGAAGAUUGGCCCAGUGUGUUCCCUGUGGAUUACUCUCAGGACUGUGGAAGCUCUGUUUUUUGUCUCUGUUAAUAAAUCUCAUCUGAGUCAA